AACGCUGGCGGCGUGCCUAAUACAUGCAAGUCGAACGAGGCCCAAUGUACUUGUACAGAGGUGUCCUAGUGGCGAACGGGUGAGUAACGCGUUGGUGACCUGCCCCGAAGUGGGGGAUAACAGUUCGAAAGGACUGCUAAUACCCCAUGUGACUGUGAGAGUUAGAGGUCUCACUAUCAAAGGAGUAAUCCGCUUCGGGAGGGGCCUGCGUCCCAUCAGCUAGUUGGUAAGGUAAUUGCUUACCAAGGCUUAGACGGGUAGGGGACCUGAGAGGGUGACCCCCCACACUGGAACUGAAACACGGUCCAGACACCUACGGGUGGCAGCAGUAGGGAAUAUUGCACAAUGGGCGAAAGCCUGAUGCAGCAACGCCGCGUGCACGAUGAAGGCCUUCGGGUUGUAAAGUGCUUUUAUGAGGGAAGAGAAAGGACUGUACCUCAUGAAUAAGGAUCGGCUAACUACGUGCCAGCAGCCGCGGUAACACGUAGGAUCCGAGCGUUAUCCGGAUUUACUGGGCGUAAAGCGCGUGCAGGUGGUCUAUUAAGUUGGAUGUUAAAUCUCCUGGCUUAACUGGGAGUUGUCGUUCAAAACUGGUAGACUAGAGGACGGUAGAGGAAGGUGGAAUUCCGGGUGUAGUGGUGAAAUGCGUAGAUAUCCGGAGGAACAUCAGUGGCGAAGGCGACCUUCUGGACCGCUCCUGACACUCCAACGCGAAAGCUAGGGGAGCAAACGG
rnacentral:rRNA from 1 species